GAUCACAUAGCUCAGUUGGCAGAGCAUUGGACUAGUAUCCCAAAGGUCGCGGGUUCGACUCCCACCGUGACCA